ensembl:lncRNA
CUCUGCUGCCCUGCCUGGCUCGGAUGGAAAGGACUGAGGAAGGAGGCCUCCAACCAGAAGGAGAGCUGCUCGCUCAGGGCUGGAGAAUGGGCUUCGGGGCCACCCUGUCUCCCAGCUGACCUGCGAGACACACUCCCAAGUGGCAACCCGGUCGGAGGCCGCCGCAGGGUCUGUGAGCGCUCCGGCGCCGUCAGCUCCCCGCUGACGGACCUACAGGGCUCUGCUCUGCAGACUGCUCCGUGCCGGCCCCAGCCUCGGAAACUCUCCAAGGAGCUGCCGACGCAGUGAUGAGCCAGCUCGGGCUUGGAACCCAACCGGGCUAUUUUUAAAAGCUGUCUCCCAAAGCGACGCUGUGACACAGAGCAAGCUGCGUGCAGAGGAGACGCGGCCCAGCCUGUGAGGAUCUCCAGACCUCACGUCAGCUGAGGUCGGGAAUACCAAAGGAGGAAGACAGGCUUCUGAGAGGUCAAGAUUUACUGGACUGUAUACAAUUCAAAAAUUUGUACCUAUUCAGGUUUGGGAACAGUAUUAACCUAGGAAUGCUUAAGCAGAAGAAGUGUGGAAAACAAGCCUGAAAAUAUUCCCCUCUGAAGGACGAGAUCUUUGAACUGCUGUGCGAGGUUUGUUUAUUUAUCACGAAGUUAACUACCCAGUGUCUUGCCAUCUGCUCAGUGGAACUCAUCUGGGUCCAGUUCAAAUAUCUCCCUCCUUUCUGCUUCGUCCUCCACUUCCCUUCUUCCCUUCCUUUCUCGUUCCUUUCUUUCCAAAUGGGAAUAUCUGAAUGCACAAGGUGUCACGCUUGGAAAAAUCCACGAUGCACUCAACCUCAUUUUGUCUCGUACUAGUGUGUACCAGGAAUUUCAGAUGACUCGGACAAGCUGUGGUUGAUUGACGAUUGACUAUGAGAUACACGAUUAGGCCUCAUAGCUUCCAGAGGAUGUGCCCUUCCUUUCUGACAUCAGUGUCACGACUGUGGCCAGACCGAGAUUCUCCCACGCCGAGCACAGCAUGGGCACCAUUCUCCAGGACUUCACAAAGCCCCUUCCGGCCGGAUUCAUUCUCAGCCCCCGCCAACCUCCGGGCCCUGCUGUGAGAGGGCCCUUCCCUCUCUCCUCAAGCUUGCAUCGCGCAUGCUCUGGUGAAGCAUUGGAAGUGCCGGCUUUAGAGGCUGUUCUGUGGCGUCUGUUCUCUGGACAGCACCCUGAGAGUUACUUACCUCCAGUGAAAUCUGCCGGGAGGUAAACAUCUUAAUCCAUUCACAGUCCAUGCCACCAUAUUUCAGCCUCAGCACGGGGCCAAAAAUAAUGGAGCCAGCAGGCCAUGGACCGAAACCUCUGAAAUUGUGCACCAAAACAAAUACUUCUCCUUAUCUCUGCCUCGGUCCCCAAGCAGCACUGGAUGGGAAUCACAUGAGGACACAGCGUCCUGGCUGUGAAUUUGCCUGGCUGUGUCAUCCCCCUUCAGACUGAGGACACCAAGAUAAGAGCAACUAAAGUAAUCUGCAGGGUUUGCAGGGACAUGCAACCACAGCUUUUACAACGAGCAGUUCCAGACUCCCUGGAAUGUCCCCAGCCAUUGUCCUGAUCCCACAGCCACCUUGGAUUCCAGAAAAAGCAGAGCCUCUCCGACUACCCCACGAUGAGGUCACCCUCCAAGUAGGAGCAUUCAGAGCACGGCGAACCAGGGCCGCCCCUCAUCGGAAGCCACCCCAGGAACAGAAGGACCCCUGGGUCUCCCAGGACCUCCCAGCACCAGUCCUGGGCACCCAUGCGCCUGCCCACGGCUUGACCAGAACGGUCUAAACUGACAGUGAUGUAAAUCCCCACCUCUUACCUUGGUUCCCCUUUGCUAGAAAACC